CGGCUACGAGUGCCUGUGCCCCGACGGCUUCCAGCUGGUGGCCCAGCGAAGAUGCGAAGAUAUCGAUGAGUGUCAGCAUCCCGACACCUGCAGCCAGCUCUGCGUGAACCUGGAGGGUGGCUACAAGUGCCAGUGUGAGGAAGGCUUCCAGCUGGACCCCCACACGAAGGCCUGCAAGGCUGUGGGCUCCAUCGCCUACCUCUUCUUCACCAACCGGCACGAGGUCAGGAAGAUGACGCUGGACCGGAGCGAGUACACCAGCCUCAUCCCCAACCUGAGGAACGUGGUCGCUCUGGACACGGAGGUGGCCAGCAAUAGAAUCUACUGGUCUGACCUGUCCCAGAGAAUGAUCUGCAGGUGAGCGUCGCCCCUGCCUGCAGCCUUGGCCC
rnacentral:sRNA from 1 species